GUGAGUAGUUCUAGAGUUUGAUCCUGGCUCAGGAUGAACGCUGGCGGCGUGCUUAACACAUGCAAGUCGAACGAAGCACCUUGACUUCUUCGGAAUGAUUGGUGACUGAGUGGCGGACGGGUGAGUAACGCGUGGGUAACCUGCCUCACACAGGGGGAUAACAGUUAGAAAUGACUGCUAAUACCGCAUAAGACCACAGUUACCGCAUGGUACAGUGAUAAAAACUACCGGUGGUGUGAGAUGGACCCGCGUCUGAUUAGCUAGUUGGUGAGGUAACGGCUCACCAAGGCGACGAUCAGUAGCCGACCUGAGAGGGUGACCGGCCACAUUGGGACUGAGACACGGCCCAA
rnacentral:rRNA from 1 species